UCACAUGCUAAACACAAAGAAAAAAUGAGGAAACGACUACUAGUCCUCUGGCUUGUGGCUGUAUUUCUAAUCCAGGUCGGUGCGGCACCGCAUCGCAGGAUUACACGCCAAGCGUAUCAAGACAUAGCGCAAAUACCAGGAAAAAUAGUAGAUGUCGGAUGGGACAUGGCUAGAGUGAUGCAGAACAUGGGCCAAACUGUUGUUGACGCGGCACAGGGUAUAAUUCCGUCCCAAAAGUAAUUCACGAACAAGUGUAGUUGGCAAGUUAAUGUAUUUAGCAAUAGACAGGUUGCACAAAAGGAAUGUUUCACCAAGUUUAGAAUAAAUUGUAAUAGCAAUGCAAA